rnacentral:rRNA from 1 species
GACGAACGCUGGCGGCGUGCUUAACACAUGCAAGUCGAACGCUGAAGCCCAGCUUGCUGGGUGGAUGAGUGGCGAACGGGUGAGUAACACGUGAGUAACCUGCCCCCUUCUUUGGGAUAACGCCCGGAAACGGGUGCUAAUACUGGAUAUUCACUGGCUUUCGCAUGGGGGUUGGUGGAAAGGUUUUUUCUGGUGGGGGAUGGGCUCGCGGCCUAUCAGCUUGUUGGUGGGGUGAUGGCCUACCAAGGCUUUGACGGGUAGCCGGCCUGAGAGGGUGACCGGUCACAUUGGGACUGAGAUACGGCCCAGACUCCUACGGGAGGCAGCAGUGGGGAAUAUUGCACAAUGGGCGAAAGCCUGAUGCAGCGACGCCGCGUGAGGGAUGACGGCCUUCGGGUUGUAAACCUCUUUCGCUCAUGGUCAAGCCGCAGCUUUGGGUUGUGGUGAGGGUAGUGGGUAAAGAAGCGCCGGCUAACUACCUGCCAGCUGCCGCGGGAAUACGUAGGGCGGGGCGUUGUCCGGAAUUAUUGGGCCUUGUGGGCUUGUCGCCGUCGGCCCGCCCGCUGUGAAAUCCUCUGGGCUCGCUUCUGGUUGUCUUUGGUCAUCUACUGAUAAUGCGUGGGAUGGG